CCUACGGGAGGCAGCAGUGAGGAAUAUUGGUCAAUGGGCGCGAGCCUGAACCAGCCAAGUCGCGUGAGGGAUGAAGGUUCUAUGGAUCGUAAACCUCUUUUAUAAGGGAAUAAAGUGUGGGACGCGUCCUAUUUUGUAUGUACCUUAUGAAAAAGGAUCGGCUAACUCCGUGCCAGCAGCCGCGGUAAUACGGAGGAUCCGAGCGUUAUCCGGAUUUAUUGGGUUUAAAGGGUGCGGAGGCGGCCUGUGAAGUCAGCGGUGAAAGUUUGUGGCUCAACCAUAGAAUUGCCGUUGAAACUGGGGGGCUUGAGUGUGUGAGAGGCAGGCGGAAUGCGUGGUGUAGCGGUGAAAUGCUUAGAUAUCACGCAGAACCCCGAUUGCGAAGGCAGCCUGCCAAGCCAUGACUGACGCUGAUGCACGAAAGCGUGGGGAUCAAACAGGAUUAGAUACCCCUGUAGUC
rnacentral:rRNA from 1 species